GCUAGCGGACGUGACGCGAGCAAGUGGCACGGGAUUACGUUAAGUAGUAAUACAAUGCCAGUCUAGUGGCGCACGGGUGAGUAACAUGUGAAUUACAUGCCCUUCAGUGGGGAAUAGCCCAGGGAAACUUGGAUUAAUACCCCAUGGUAUCGCAAGAUUAAAGGUGGCCAGCAAUGGCUGUCGCUGAAGGAUUGGUUCGCACCCUAUCAGCUUGUUGGUGAGGUAAUGGCUCACCAAGGCUACGACGGGUACCUGGUCUGAGAGGACGAUCAGGCACACUGGAACUGAGACACGGUCCAGACACCUACGGGUGGCAGCGGUCGAGAAUAAUUCACAAUGGGGGCAACCCUGAUGGUGCAACGCCGCGUGGAGGAUGAAGGUCUUCGGAUUGUAAACCCCUGUCAUCUGGGAGCAAGGCAUGGUUGUUAACAGCAAACAUGAUUGAUAGUACCAGAAGAGGAAGGGACGGCUAACUUCGUGCCAGCAGCCGCGGUAAUACGAAGGUCCCAAGCGUUGUUCGGAAUCACUGGGCGUAAAGGGAGCGUAGGCGGCGUGGUAAGUCAGAUGUGAAAUCCCGGGGCUCAACCCCGGAACUGCAUCCGAUACUGCCAUGCUAGAGGAUUGGAGAGGUAGCUGGAAUUCUUGGUGUAGCAGUGAAAUGCGUAGAGAUCAAGAGGAACACUCGUGGCGAAAGCGAGCUACUGGACAAUUCCUGACGCUGAGGCUCGAAGGCUAGGGCAGCGAAAGGGAUUAGAUACCCCUGUAGUCCUAGCAGUAAACGGUGCACGCUUGGUGUGAGGGGAAUCGACCCCCCUUGUGCCGGAGCUAACGCGUUAAGCGUGCCGCCUGGGAAGUACGG
rnacentral:rRNA from 1 species